rnacentral:rRNA from 1 species
GAUGAACGCUGGCGGCGUGCCUAAUACAUGCAAGUCGAGCGAACUGAUUAGAAGCUUGCUUCUAUGACGUUAGCGGCGGACGGGUGAGUAACACGUGGGCAACCUGCCUGUAAGACUGGGAUAACUUCGGGAAACCGAAGCUAAUACCGGAUAGGAUCUUCUCCUUCAUGGGAGAUGAUUGAAAGAUGGUUUCGGCUAUCACUUACAGAUGGGCCCGCGGUGCAUUAGCUAGUUGGUGAGGUAACGACUCACCAAGGCAACGAUGCAUAGCCGACCUGAGAGGGUGAUCGGCCACACUGGGACUGAGACACGGCCCAGACUCCUACGGGAGGCAGCAGUAGGGAAUCUUCCGCAAUGGACGAAAGUCUGACGGAGCAACGCCGCGUGAGUGAUGAAGGCUUUCGGGUCGUAAAACUCUGUUGUUAGGGAAGAACAAGUACGAGAGUAACUGCUCGUACCUUGACGGUACCUAACCAGAAAGCCACGGCUAACUACGUGCCAGCAGCCGCCGUAACAC